rnacentral:rRNA from 1 species
GAUCGGGCGUUCCCCUUCGGGGGGACAGGGUGACAGGUGGUGCAUGGUUGUCGUCAGCUCGUGUCGUGAGAUGUUGGGUUAAGUCCCGCAACGAGCGCAACCCUCGACCUUAGUUGCCAGCAUUCAGUUGGGCACUCUAAGGUGACUGCCGGCUAAAAGUCGGAGGAAGGUGGGGAUGACGUCAAAUCAUCAUGCCCCUUAUGACCUGGGCUACACACGUGCUACAAUGGGCGGUACAAAGGGUCGCGAACCCGCGAGGGGGAGCCAAUCCCAAAAAGCCGCUCUCAGUUCGGAUUGCAGGCUGCAACUCGCCUGCAUGAAGCCGGAAUCGCUAGUAAUCGCGGAUCAGCAUGCCGCGGUGAAUACGUUCCCGGGCCUU